CCUGCCUCUAGAGGCUUUGCAGGUGUGGCUGCUGUGUCACACACAGGUCAGUAGGUGGCAGAAGAGAAGAGAGACUGUGUACACUCAGGGUUCUGACCCAUCAACAUCUGAGUGUUUAGUAGCCUGACACU